UAAGGCUGAAGAGGCUUUAAAGGAGUUUAAUAAAAAUUUAAAACUAAGAAAAACCCUGUAUGAUAUUGAUAAAGCU
rnacentral:snoRNA from 1 species